GAUAAAAUUUGUGAUUUUAAAAAUUUAUUUUUAAUUUAUUUUACAUGUAAAUUUUAGUAUGAAUUUUUAAUUAUUUUAAUAAUAUAAAUUAAAUUGCAGUAAUUAAUAUUAAAAAUUUAAGAAAUUAAGAUUUAGUAAUAUUAAAAUUAUUAACAAAUUUUGUGCCAGCAGUUGCGGUUAUACAAAAAAUGAUAUAAAUUUUUUUAGAUUUAAUAAAAAUAUAAUAUAAUAAAUUAAAUAUUAAAUUAUUAAGUGAAAUUUUAAUUUAAUUAAAUUUUAAUAGAUAUUUUUGAUUUAGUAAAUUUUAUAAAUAAACUAGGAUUAGAUACCCUAUUAUUAAAAAUUUAAUUUGAAAUACUAAAAUAUUAAAUAAUUAAUUAUUGAAACUUAAAUAAUUUGGCGGUAUUUUAGUUCAUUUAGAGGAAUCUGUUUAAUAAUUGAUAAUCCACGAAUAAAUUUACUUAAUUUAUUAUUUUAUAUAUCGUUGUUAAAAAAAUAUUUUUAAAUAAAAAUAAUAUUUUAAAAUUUAAAAUGAAAAUUAAUUCAGAUCAAGAUGUAGAUUAUAAUUAAGAAUAUAAUGGAUUACAAUAAAUAUAUUUAAAUGAAUUUUAUUUUGUAAUAAAUAAUUAAAGGUGGAUUUAAAUGUAAUUUUAUUUAUUUUAAUAAAAUGAUUAAUAAUUAAAAUAUGUACAUAUUGCCCGUCGCUUUCAUUUAAAAAUUGGAAUAAGUCGUAACAAAGUAGAGGUACUGGAAAGUGUUUCUAGAAAGAC
rnacentral:ncRNA from 1 species